rnacentral:rRNA from 1 species
GAUGAACGCUAGCGGCAGGCUUAACACAUGCAAGUCGAGGGGUAGAGUUAGCUUGCUAACUUGAGACCGGCGCACGGGUGCGUAACGCGUAUGCAAUCUACCUUGUACAGAGGGAUAGCCCAGAGAAAUUUGGAUUAAUUCCUCAUAGUAUUAUUGAAUGGCAUCAUUUGAUUAUUAAAGUUCCAACGGUACAAGAUGAGCAUGCGUCCCAUUAGCUAGAUGCUAAGGUAACGGCUUACCAUGGCAACGAUGGGUAGGGGUCCUGAGAGGGAGAUCCCCCACAUUGGUACUGAGACACGGACCAGACUCCUACGGGAGGCAGCAGUGAGGAAUAUUGGUCAAUGGGCGCAAGCCUGAACCAGCCAUGCCGCGUGCAGGAAGACGGUCCUAUGGAUUGUAAACUGCUUUUAUACGGGAAGAAACCCUGCUACGUGUAGCAGCUUGACGGUACCGUAAGAAUAAGCAUCGGCUAACUCCGUGCCAGCCGCCGCGGUAA